GUUUGAGAGAAGGGAUGACACAGUAGGAUAAGCUAAGCACACUGUUGGUUAUGUGUGCCCAAGCAUUGAGGCAGUCAAAGUAGGCAAAUCCGCUUUGAUAAUGCUGGGAUGUGAUGGGGAGCGAAAUUUAGUAGCGAAGUAGCUGAUUUCACACUGUCAAGAAAAGUCUCUAUCGAGGUUAAAGGUACCCGUACCGCAAACCGACACAGGUGGGUGAGGAGAGUAUCCUAAGGCCAGCGAGAGAACUGUUGUUAAGGAACUCGGCAAAAUGACCCCGUAACUUAGGGAUAAGGGGUGCCACCAUCAGGUGGCCGCAGAGAAUAGGCCCAAGCGACUGUUUACCAAAAACAUAGGUUUCUGCUAAGUCGCAAGACGAUGUAUAGGAGCUGACGCCUGCCCGGUGCUGGAAGGUUAAGGGGAUCUGUUAGAGCAAUCGAAGCAGUGAACUUAAGCCCCAGUAAACGGCGGCCGUAACUAUAACGGUCCUAAGGUAGCGAAAUUCCUUGUCGGGUAAGUUCCGACCCGCACGAAAGGCGUAACGAUUUGGGCACUGUCUCAACAACAGACUCGGUGAAAUUGUAAUUCCGGUGAAGAUGCCGGAUACCUGCGACAGGACGGAAAGACCCCAUGGAGCUUUACUGUAGCUUGACAUUGGGUCUUGGUACUACAUGUACAGGAUAGGUGGGAGGCUUUGAAACCAGGACGCCAGUUUUGGCGGAGCCAUCCUUGGGAUACCACCCUUGUAGUACUGGGACUCUAACCAUAGGCCAUGAAUCUGGUCUUGGGACACUGUCAGGUGGGCAGUUUGACUGGGGCGGUCGCCUCCCAAAAGGUAACGGAGGCGCUCAAAGGUUCUCUCAGUACGGUCGGAAAUCGUACGUAGAGUGUAAAGGCAAAAGAGAGCUUGAUUGCAAGACAUACAGGUCGAGCAAGGAUGAAAAUCGGACUUAGUGAUCCGGUGGUUCUGCGUGGAAGGGCCAUCGCUCAACGGAUAAAAGCUACCCUGGGGAUAACAGGCUUAUCUCCCCCAAGAGUCCACAUCGACGGGGAGGUUUGGCACCUCGAUGUCGGCUCAUCACAUCCUGGGGCUGUAGUAGGUCCCAAGGGUUGGGCUGUUCGCCCAUUAAAGUGGUACGCGAGCUGGGUUCAGAACGUCGUGAGACAGUUCGGUCCCUAUCCGUCGCAGGCGUAGGAAAUUUGAGAAGACCUGUCCUUAGUACGAGAGGACCGGGAUGGACGUACCUCUGGUGUACCAGUUGUCCUGCCAAGGGCAUGGCUGGGUAGCUAUGUACGGAAUGGAUAAGCGCUGAAAGCAUCUAAGCGCGAAGCCAACUUCAAGAUAAGAUUUCCCACCG
rnacentral:rRNA from 1 species